AAAUUAUGUUUAAUAAAUUUAGUAAGAAAUUGGUGUAAAAGAUUUCUGAAAAACAUGAAAAUAGACUUAUACAAAUGAAAAAUAAUGACACCAAAUGUUUGGGUGGGAAAAUUCAACAAUAUUGAGAAGUCAUUAAUCUUUGAAUCAAUUCAUGUGUUUUGUUGCCACAGAGAUGGUGUUUCCACAAGUGCAGGGAGGGUAUUCAGCCUUUGAAUAGAGCAGCUGUGGCUGUUGUCUGAUGGAUAACAUUUUUACGGGCACAAUACACACUGUAACCUGUUUUAAGAGCCCACAGCCUGUUUUCUGGUGAGCUGAGAUGUGGCUGCCUUCAGUAACACUUUAUUGCCUGCAUCUGACCCACUUUCUCUGGGUACCUUAAAAAUAGUCACAUACUGUUUUAGUAAUUCCUUCAGUUGGUGACUUGCCUGGUGUGAGACUAUCUGGGAACCCCUCCUACCCAAGCCCACAGGUGAUAACAGUCUGUGAACAGUCCAGGGAGAGACCAACUGCUCGGGGAUGCUGGAACAGUGUAUGAACAGACUAUGUAUGUAUAAACUUGUACCCAUCAUUCAGCUUUGGCCAAUUGUUCAAACCAUGUUCAAAUAAGAUAAAUGCCAAUUGUAACCAAUGCAGCUGUUUCUGUAUCCCACUUCUGUACCAUUUUCUGUAUGUCACUUUCUUGAUUCUGUCCAUAAAUCCUCUCUGACCACACAGCAGCAUGGAGUUUUUCUGAGCCAUUCUGGUUAAGGGAGCUGCCUGGUUUGCAAGACAUUCUUUGUUCAAUUAAAUCCUGUUCAACUUAAUUUCCCUAAAGUAUUUUUUUAUUUUUUACUUAUUUUUUUUAAACAUUACCAAGGUUAACAAGAGCUUGGAAUACCUUAGGUGGGAGGAACAUGGUAGGUGAUGUUUUUGGGAGGAUGAGGUGAGGCCAGAAUGGGGUUCGAGGGCCAAAGAGGGACCUGUGUGAGAGGCUGAUGAGGGUGCUGUUAGUAACCGGGCCUGUUAUAUGGGAACAGGGUUAUUACCCCCAUCAAACAUGAGAGAAGGGGAAAAGUUCUUAAAACACAAGCAGGAGGUAUUUCCCUCCUACUUUUUAUGUUUCCACAAAGAGCCAAAAGCCAAGUAUAUGGCUUCUGUCCUUCAUUCUCACAGUGUUCAGAGUAGCCAGCCAUGUCCAGUGAAGAGGGUUCAGGUGCAUAGAGCAGUCUUCUAAAUACUAAUCUACAUCUUUUUCCACUACAGAAUUUUUAUCAAGUCAAUUUAAAAAGUUUUGGUUGAUUAAGGAAACGUUUUUAAGGCCUGGUGCAGUGGCUCAUGUAUGUAAUCCCAGCACUUUGGGAGGCCAAGGUGGGCGGAUCUCUUGAGGUCAGGAGUUGGAGACCAGCCUGGCCAACAUGGUGAAACCCCGUCUCCACUAAAAAUACAAAAAAUAGCCAGGCGUGGUGGCAGGUACCUGUAAUCCCAGAUAAUCAGGAGGCUGAGGCCAGAGAAUCGCUUGAACCUGGGAGGUGGAGGUUGCCAUGAGCCGAGAUCGCG
rnacentral:lncRNA from 1 species